rnacentral:rRNA from 1 species
AUUGAACGCUGGCGGCAGGCCUAACACAUGCAAGUCGAAUGGUAACAGGAAACAGCUUGCUGUUUCGCUGACGAGUGGCGGACGGGUGAGUAAUGUCUGGGAAACUGCCUGAUGGAGGGGGAUAACUACUGGAAACGGUAGCUAAUACCGCAUAACGUCGCAAGACCAAAGAGGGGGACCUUCGGGCCUCUUGCCAUCAGAUGUGCCCAGAUGGGAUUAGCUAGUAGGUGGGGUAACGGCUCACCUAGGCGACGAUCCCUAGCUGGUCUGAGAGGAUGACCAGCCACACUGGAACUGAGACACGGUCCAGACUCCUACGGGAGGCAGCAGUGGGGAAUAUUGCACAAUGGGCGCAAGCCUGAUGCAGCCAUGCCGCGUGGAUGAAGAAGGCCUUCGGGUUGUAAAGUACUUUCAGCGGGGAGGAAGGGAGUAAAGUUAAUACCUGUGCUCAUUGACGUUACCCGCAGAAGAAGCACCGGCUAACUCCGU